CCAUUUUCUAGAUCCAAAGCAAGUGAAUUACUUUAUGUGUCAUUUCCGCAGAGGGAACCUGAGAGUCAGAAGGUUCCAUUCUCAGAAACUUUUAAUAAAGAGGAGUGCCUCUUGCCAGUGCUACAGAAAGAAAAAAGAACAGCUGAGCACCAACAACCAGCAUCAAGGUACACCCAAAAGGCUAUGAUUACGGACACAGAAGAGAGCACUAGAAUAAAGGAAGGAGAGGAAGCUGCACACAAAUACAUUCACAUUCAAACUCUCCAAACAGGUGAUAUCUUUGGCCUGGUGUAUGCAGUCUUUGAAGACACACUUAGCAUGACCCUGGUUUCUGAUGGAGCGGAGUGUAUUGUGAUAUCAAAGGAGUUCUUCAAAAGGCACAUGGAUGAGGACUAUCUCCAUAAAUUAUGCACAGUCGUUCAGCCUUAUCCUUCUAAAGAGAUGCUGGAGAAAAAGAUGCAAGACUACAUGAACUGGAAAGCAUACAAAUCUCUGCUGAUCCAUGGACCACAUUAGCUAUUUUGAAGUUGCUGGUGUGAAGGAGUGAAACAAUCCUAGGACAUUUUCUCUGCUUACGGGGAUGAGUUCUUUUCCUUUGAUCAUUUUUUGUUGUUUCAAAAUAACAAGAAACCCUCGGCUCCCAAACACUCACGUUGCUAUUAAUUACAAUUAUGUGCCAUUAAGUUAAUUUCAUUGUCUCACAGAUCCAUAAACUCUGACAUAACUGGUGAGACAAGUGUAUUGCAAUUCAGCUAAUAAAAGUCAUUUCGGACAAUGGGCCA
rnacentral:lncRNA from 1 species